AUGAAUAAACAUAUCUUUUCUACUAGCCAGACUCAGAACCCAGCCAUGUACUCACUCCUCUUUCCUGCCUCCUUUUCAUACAGGAUGUUGGAUUUUUUAUUUACAACCAGAGCAACACCCCUUCCUAAGGGUCAAAUUGUCUGGACUCCCUCAUCCAAGCCUUCCUUCCUGGGCCUCAGAAGCAGCUUUGUUGGAAAUGGUGGGCUGCCUGGUUUGUUAUGGGGUUAACACAGCUCCCGCAGUCUGGAAGAAGAGCUUGGUGGUGGUGGUGGUGUUCAGCUGUGAAGUCACGUCUGACUCUUUGCGACCGCAUGGACUGUAGCACACCAGGCUCCUCUGUCCCCCACCAUCUCCCAAAGCUUGCUCAGACUCAUGUCCAUUGAGUCAGUGAUGCUAUCUAACCAUCUCAUCCUCUGCUGCCCCCUUCUCCUUUUGCCUUCAAUCUUUCCCGGCAUCAGGGUCUAGAUGCUAGAUACCAGCAAUUUCAGGUAUUUUAAAAUGCAUUUUUGAAAGUCAGAGAAAAUUUAUCUGAUUUGCAAGACUUCCUUCCUCUAAUAUUUAUGUGAACACUUUCUGGGCAUAUUCUGAAUCUCACUCCUCUCUCUUCCCUCAUGGUUUUCCCCUGUUCUGGUGAUCUGGCAGAUUACCACCAUUGAUUCACUGUGUCACCCAUGAGCAGGUGUGUGUUUUCCUUCUUCCUUUCUUUGCUUAUUAUUUAUUAAUCCAUGAUAAUUACUUAUUUAUGUAGGUCACUUUAUUUUAAAUGAUAAUUUUAUAAAACUUUAAGUGGCAGAGCAUCUGUACUCCAAAGGGCAAGAAAGAUGAGUAAGAGACACAAAAUGUGUGUACCACAGAGAGCUGAAUUAGGAAACAAACAUAGACCCAGAAUCUCUUCUACCUCUAUCAUCAUCCGCCUUUUACCAUUUUGGAAAUUGUCCUGAUCUCCUGUUUUCAAUGGCCCUUUCCUAUUUUAAAUAUCCUCAUGAUUCUACUACCUUGAAAGUGAAGCAAGGUUUGUUUGCCAUUUUCAAGCAGGAACCGCAAUGUCUACAGAACAUGGCAAACCUUUCCAAAUUGGAGACUGGAGUCUGAGAGUUAUGAAUCCAGACUAAGCCAGGCCUCUAAUAGGUCAAUAAUUUUUUACUGAGCACUUCCUAUUUGUCAGGAAGAAUGUUUGGAGGUGGGCAGAAAGAGUGAAUGAGACGCACCCUUAACUUAGUGGUCCACAGUAUCCCACAUCACGUUCACACUGGCCUCAUCCGAAGAAGAGUGUGGGGGAGAAGAUGGUGCUCACCGUGUGGAUAUGAGUGCAUCAUUUAGGAAUUGUGUACAUCUGCUAGUGAUAGACACUCAAUAAAAAAAUGGCUAAAAUAAAUUGGCAGUUUACUUUUCUCUUUUGCAGACAGAGGUAAGCAACGUAGUGCUCAUCUUUUUGUUUUUUUUGAAUACUGCCUUAUUUUCUAAUACUACAAGAUGCUCUCUGCCCUGAUCCUAAAAUCAGCUAUUUCUUUUUUUUAAAUUUUUUAUUAUUAUUAUUUUUUUACUUUACAAUAUCGUAU
ensembl:lncRNA